rnacentral:lncRNA from 1 species
AGAUUAUAUUUUGUUGAUGUAUUAUACUUAAUGAUUUAAUCAACUAAUGACUGGAACUAUCUCUUACUAUUAAAUCAACACUUUUACAACCUAAUAAUCCCAUUAAUAGACCAAUAAGAAUUCCUAAUGAAUGGUAAUAGUUCCAAAUCAACAAUCAACAUCAUCAUCUUUCAGUGGCCUGUAUAAUCUUUCCAUAGACUAUACGUAUGUUAUCGUGCCCUACAUAUUUCCAUGUUCAUCAUGUUGUGAAAAAAGACACAACACUUUGACUAGAGAAGUAUAAAUAGUCACAGGGAAGAUAAAUGUAGUCACAGGGCAGUGGGUUGUUACGCCCUUUUCAGAAGCAAUGGUAAUUGAUAGGAUUAUUUUUCCUGGAGUAAGAUGUGCAAAGUGGUUGGGAAGAAUUUGGAGAUCAAUAGCAGAAAAGUUGGUAAGAUGCCUGGGCAGUUAAAUGGGAUAUAUAUAGCAUGGUCUGGAUCUGAAGGGCAAAUUAGCCUAAUUUGUAUUCAAUUAUUUGGCCUGGGAGUGACUGCCCAAAUCAUAACUUUUUUUCCUGACCAUCAUAUAUCCUUAUGAAUUGUGACAAUUGUAAUAGGGAAUUAUUUAAGUAGAAAUGAUAAUUCAAGAUCAGAUCUGCCAAUCUCCUCCCUUCCUCCCCCCAGUUUACCUUCCUCCUUGUUCCUCCUCCUCCCUUUCUCCCUCCCCUUCCAGUUGUGAAAUCUCCUCCCUUCCUCCCUUUCCUCCCUUCACCCUACCUAUUUACCUUCCUCUUUCUUCCUCCCUCCCCUUCCAGUUGCUUCUUCUGUUGGUCUCUUUAAAGUCAACUCACAAUGGCAAAGCAGCACAUGAUACCAAAAUAUAUACUGUUGGCAUAUAGUGAUGCCCUAAUGAUAUGACAAGAAGCUCUGCAUAAAUUAAAUUCAAAGAGUAAUGGGUGACUAAUAAGAGGAAGAACUAUGAGAGUUUUGCUUAUAUUCUAUCAAAAAAAGGAAAAAGUAAUUAGCAGUUGUCAUAUUUAAUAUACAGCCUACUAUCUUUGGGAGACAACCAGGGUAUCAUUUCAUGUUUUAAUAAAAGGUCUGAACAACUAGAAAAAUUUAUUUAU